GACGAACGCUGGCGGCGUGCCUAAUACAUGCAAGUCGAACGCAGUGGGGACGGGUUAGUAACACGUGGGUAACCUCCCAUCUGAGGGGAUAACACUUGGAAACAGGUGCUAAACCGAUACUGAUGGAUGGACCCUCGGUGCAUUAGCUAGUUGGUGAGGGACCGGCUCACCAAGGCAACGAUGCAUAGCCGACCUGAGAGGAUGAUCAGCCACACUGGGACUGAGACACGGCCCAGACUCCUACGGGAGGCAGCAGUGGGGAAUAUUGCACAAUGGGCGCAAGCCUGAUGCAGCCAUGCCGCGUGUAUGAAGAAGGCCCUAGGGUUGUAAAGUACUUUCAGUCGGGAGGCGUUACCGACAGAAGAAGCACCGGCUAACUCCGUGCCAGCAGCCGCGGUAAUAC
rnacentral:rRNA from 1 species